GGGAACGUACCCUUCGGUUCAGAAUAACUCAGGGAAACUUGAGCUAAUACCGGAUACGCCCUUUUGGGGAAAGGUUUACUGCCGAAGGAUCGGCCCGCGUCUGAUUAGCUUGUUGGUGGGGUAACGGCCUACCAAGGCGACGAUCAGUAGCUGGUCUGAGAGGAUGAUCAGCCACACUGGGACUGAGACACGGCCCAGACUCCUACGGGAGGCAGCAGUGGGGAAUAUUGGACAAUGGGCGCAAGCCUGAUCCAGCCAUGCCGCGUGAGUGAUGAAGGCCUUAGGGUUGUAAAGCUCUUUUGUCCGGGACGAUAAUGACGGUACCGGAAGAAUAAGCCCCGGCUAACUUCGUGCCAGCAGCCGCGGUAAUACGAAGGGGGCUAGCGUUGCUCGGAAUCACUGGGCGUAAAGGGCGCGUAGGCGGCCGAUUAAGUCGGGGGUGAAAGCCUGUGGCUCAACCACAGAAUUGCCUUCGAUACUGGUUGGCUUGAGACCGGAAGAGGACAGCGGAACUGCGAGU
rnacentral:rRNA from 1 species